UACGUAGGUGGCAAGCGUUAUCCGGAAUUAUUGGGCGUAAAGCGCGCGUAGGCGGUUUCUUACGUCUGAUGUGAAAGCCCACGGCUCAACCGUGGAGGGUCAUUGGAAACUGGGGAACUUGAGUGCAGAAGAGAAAAGCGGAAUUCCACGUGUAGCGGUGAAAUGCGUAGAGAUGUGGAGGAACACCAGUGGCGAAGGCGGCUUUUUGGUCUGUAACUGACGCUGAGGCGCGAAAGCGUGGGGAGCAAACAGG
rnacentral:rRNA from 1 species